rnacentral:sRNA from 1 species
UAUUCUGCCCGUGCGGGAAGGAUGAGAAUCUUCGAUUAAGGUUCGAUUAGAGCAUAGCGAGAAAACGUUGCCGCAGGCAACGACCCGAAGGGCGAAGCGCGCAGCGCUGAGUCAUCUUUCCCCCACCACCA